AAGAAGUCAGGCCGGAUUAAGCCAUAGUACGGUAAGAGCUAUGCUGCCUGUGAGCCCCGUCUAAGGACGUAAAAUGAAGUCAGGCCGAAAGCCACGGUUUGAGCAAACCGUGCUGCCUGUAGCUCCAUCGUGGGGAUGUAAAAACCCGGGAGGCUGCAACCCAUGGAAGCUGUACGCAUGGGGUAGCAGA
rnacentral:lncRNA from 1 species